rnacentral:rRNA from 1 species
GAUGAACGCUAGCGGCAGGCUUAAUACAUGCAAGUCGAGGGACAGCACAGGUAGCAAUACUGGGGGUUAACCGGCAAACGGGUGCGGAACACGUACACAACCUUCCUUUAAGUGGGGGAUAGCCCAGAGAAAUUUGGAUUAAUACCCCGCAAUAUGGUUGAAUGGCAUCAUAUGAUUAUUAUACUUACGGCGCUUAAUGAUGGGUGUGCGGCUGUUUAGAUAGUUGGCGGGGUAACGGCCCACCAAGUCUACGAUCAGUAGCUGAUGUGAGAGCAUCAUCAGACACACGGGCACUGAGACACGGGCCCGACUCCUACAGGAGGCGGCAGUAAUGAAUAUUGGUAAAUGGACGCAAGUCUGAACCAGCCAUGCCGCGUGAAGGAUUAAGGUCCUCUGGAUUGUAAACUACUUUUAUUUGGGACGAAAAAGGGCCUUUCUAGGUCAACUGACGGUACCAGAUGAAUAAGCACCGGCUAACUCCGUGCCAGCCGCCGCAGUAACAC